CGGGGGAGCCGGGGGAGCCUCGGCCGCCCGUGGGCACCGUGUCCCAGCCCGCGCCUUCCUCGUGCGGUGCCAGGCGCCAGCCUCCCCUUCCUUCCCGAACUCGCGUUUUCACCCUCCCCCGGCUUCGGGAGACCAACCGGGAGCCGCUCUUCCCCCCAACCCCCUCUCCGACCCAGCUCCCCAUCCCCGCUGCCUCCUUAUCCAGCCCCCUAAGGGCAGAGGGGCCUGGGCGCCCGUUUUAGAGCUGGGCAAACUGAGAGCCUAAGACGUCCGGUACGUACACCGGGAGACGAGGGAGCAGGAUCUCGACCAGCGCUGCGCCUGGGCUCGGGGGACCGGCUGGCCCUCCCCAGACACCAAUCCGGCCGGUGCUUUGGCGGUGGAAGAACCCGGAGCCCUCCCUCUUAAACCUAGAAGCUUCAUAGAUGAACUUCAGGGCUCUGACAGCACCCCAUCUUCCCCUGAAGUAGAAGACAAAAUCUCCUACAUGCAGUUUGUCUUGGGAGACUAUCCACAGCUUUCAUCAGAAAGAAUUCCAGAACCACAAGAAGCUCAGAGUUGGAAGGCGCCAUCUUCAGUUGAGUCCCCUACCCGCACCCCAUCAUUGCUGAUAAAUGCUGAUGGUACUUCGUAGUUACAUCAUCCUACUGGUUCGGCUCCUCUGGCCGCAGUGGCAGUGACUCUGGUGUGGUGAGGCAGCCCACAGUGUUUGCAGUGCUAGAAGCAUUGUAUAACUUGAUCUGGUUGGUGGUUACACAGCUGUAAACAUAAGUGCUUCAUCUUCAAGAAGAUUCAUCGAAAGGACUUUUUGACAAAGAUAAGGAAACCUUUCCCCUAAACUAAUUAUGACUUACUGCAAUUUGGUAAGUUACAACUUUGUAAGCAGAAUUGAAUCAUUUUAUCUUUUCUCUCUGCCUGAUUGCUCUAGAAACUGGAAACUCUUAGAUUCCCAACAGCUUUAUCGGGUGAAUGAGGAAGACCACUUCCUGACUGGUACAGGAAUCUCAAGAUAUCUUAGGGAACUUGAGAAGGGCAGAAUUCACCCAAACCUCUAGAUAUCGCAGGUAGAAUCUGAUGGCAAGCCCUUGGCAUGGAUUUCCUGGCCUUGAGAGGCUUUUUGAAAGUUUAAUCUGAGAUUCCUUAUGAAAAAUUCUAGCACAGGUAAUUUAAAAGAGUCUAUGUGAUCAAUUACAUGUAUGCAAAUAAUCAGGUCCAGUUUGAAACCAGACUUAUGUUGCAAACAACUUAGUCUUAAUUUGACUAUGUUUGGUAGAAAUGAGGAUACUUUUAAAGAAAAAGAUUAUGUUUCAGUGUAUAUUAAAUUCUAGUUUUGUUAAUUGAGGUCUGUGUUUACUGCCUCGGAUUCACUUCCCAGAUAGCUCCUUACUGGUAUGUGACGUAUUUGUGAAGUUUUACUGAAUUAUUAAAAGGGCACUGUAAGCUUGUUUCUGAAUCUUAUCACAGAAAUCUAUCUUUGGAUGACGAUCAGCUGCCCCAUGACCUGCAACCAGGAGAUUAUGCAGAUGGGAAAGGGCUAUCUCCAACCAAGAAAAAAGAUUCCUUAAUAGGUCUAUAGAAUGGACUGAUGACCCCAAAUGACAUCAGCACAAGAAGAUGACAACAGCAGUGGUGGACAGCUGGCCCAAGAAUCCAGAUCAGGCCUGUAAGACCCAUCCUACCAGUUCAAUUCAACUGUUACCCAAAUGUUAUAUUUCUAUCAAAAUUGAAAGUUAUUCUUUUACUUCUAAUGAUACUGUUGCCCCCAGUGUUCAGGACAGGAAGAAAAUGCUUUAGUGAAGUUGUCACAGAGGAUGACUACUCAUGACAUACCUCACUGCUUGCUUUAAGUCUCCUGCUGAAAGCACAUGUACAAUGUUUGUGUGACAAUUCAGUAUAGUUGAUAAAAUGUAUGUUUCCCUACUAGCAUACUUCUGAGUUUGUUCCCUGUGUCGGAUUAGUUUUGUCUCUAAGUAGAUCACUAGGUAAAUAUAUGUAAACAAACAGGAGGCCCAGCACGGAGUGACAUCAUGGACCUAGCGCAAGCAGCAACCAGCCUGGCAUUGAGGGACAAGUUUCUUUUUUUCUUCCUUUUUUUUUUUAAUUGAAGUAUAGUCAGUUUACAAUGUUGUGUCAAUUUCUGGUGUACAACAUAAUGUUUCAGUCAUACAUAUAUAUACAUACAUUCCUUUUCAUGUUAUUUUCCAUUAUAGGUUACUGCAAGAUAUUGAAUAUAGUUCCCUAUGCUCUACAGUGUAAACUUGUUGUUUAUUUUAUAUAUAGUAGUUAGUAUCUGAAAAUCUUGAACUCCCAAUUUAUCCAUUCCCACCCCAGGUAACCAUGUUUGUUUUCUAUGGGGACAAGUAUUUUUGAUAGUCGGUGCUUUCUGUUGAAAGAUUUGCAAACAAAAGGGGAAAUGAUAGAAGAAAAUUUCACAUAUUGAGGAAUGGAGAAGUCAUUCUGGCUUAUACGUGAUUUAACUUAAACGUUAUGCUAACUAGACCUGCCUGUUUUGUGGACUAUCAAACAUGCAUUAUACAUCUGCUUUAACCAUUAAAAAAAAAAAGGAUGCAUUUUGAAAUAAAAAAUAGAGUGACACUGGUUCAGGCAUCCAAAAUAAGGCUGGGUGGCCAUUGUGGACAUGGUUUCAGACACAUUCCUGUAUUACUGAGAAUUUAAAUUUUCUGAACUAUAUCAGACUCAAGGACAUCACCAACCAUUCUCAAAAAAAGUAUCUGCUAGCAGCUGCCAACUGCAACCUUGUGGUAUCAAGGUCUCUUCUUAUAACUAUUAAAUUUCUCUCUUACUUUGGGAAUAGUGACAAAUGAGACAGCUCAAGUCACAGCCUCCAGCAGAAGGCACUAGGUUCUUAAGCCAGAAUAGCACUAGACAAUGAAAUUGCUUUUGGUUAGAUUUUAGCAGAAAAAUUCCUGUGUGUAGUGGCCAAUAGCUCCUAUUAUUUGUGUAUUAAUACCACAUCUGAAGCUAAAACCUACUUAGAUAAAAUUAGGCAGUUGGCUACAAGAAUUCCCCCGAGAAGUGCCAGGUCCAGGCUGGCUUUCAGGCUUAUUUUUCUGAAUGCUUCAGGGAGUGAGAUCUAUUUCCCAAUGUCUGUUAAAGUUUGAGUUGUCACUCUUCCUCCUAGUUCUAAUUGAGCACUUGGGUAUAAAAUGUGCUAUAAACUCUUGCACCAAAGCAGGUGGACUAAGGGACUAAGAAUUUAAUCAUGCUACACUUGGAUCCAAAACCUGGAAUUCAGGAGUAUGUCCACCUUGAGGUACAGUGUUUCCACGUCCCACGCUGAGGCAGGACUACGCCCCCUUUCAGCAGGAAGUAACCAGAGCCGUCAUUGCCUGGUUCACUCAAAGAUUUGGGGAAAGUUAAAACAGGAGUGGGGAUUGAAACCGAGUCCCCUAAAACCAAGUUCCCCUGCUGAAUUUAUGAUUAACCUCUCUUCAAAAGUUUAUUCCCUGUCCUAUCCCUUCUGACCUCAGUCCUGUGCUAACGAACACUGAUCACUCAGAGUCAGGACUAAAAUUGCUGUUGCUGAUAACAUCAUUAAUGUACAGAGUCAGGUUAUUUCUCCAGCGCAACAGACCCCUGGGUCAUGGGCCACCAGACCAGAGACUGGUAAACCUUAGGCGUCCUGACUCCCCAAAUUAUGAUUAAGAAAUGUCACAAGAUGAUGACUAACCCCAGCUUCUUUUUCUUCCCCUUUAACAACCCAUAACUCAAAGAUUAAGUGGGAGUGGAUGGGAGGUUCGUCUCCCACUUCCUGGCCUGGGGCCCUGCAAUAAACACUUUCUUUGCUGCAAACACCUGCUGUCAGAGUUUGGCUUUCUGCCCAACAGACACACAAGCCCUUUUGUUCAGUUACACCAGCAAAAUGUGUCCCUGCACCAGCAGCAGCAGCAUGGCCUGGGAACUUUUAGAAAUGCAGAUUCUUGGUCUUGUCCCAGACCUGCUGAAUCAGCAAGUCUGGGGGUGCGUCUCAGUAAUCUGUUUUAACAAGCACUUCAGGGGGUUCAGAUGCAGCUGCUGUGUGAGAAUCACUACUCCAGAGCCACAAAGGAAAAGUCUGACUCCCAUUCUACAGAGAGCCUUUCACUGUUUGAAGACAUUCCUCUUGUUCUUCCUGAGUUUUGUUGUUCUCAGCGUGCUCUCUGCUUCCUUCAGUCAUUCCUCAUUUACCGUGUAUUCCAGACCCCUUGCCAUCCUUAUUUCCCCAUCACAUCAUGCUCUGAUUGUCAGUGGCCCUCUUAAAAGGGGGGGCUCCCAGCACUAUGCCCAGGGCUCCCAAGUGUCUAAGCAGCACACAGUGCAAUGAGGUUUGCUGGCCUCGUCUUCUCUAGAAACUUUGACAGCUACUCAUUGAAUGCUUACUCUGUGCCAAGAAAUGAUAUACAGUAACUUUUUGUUUACUUUCUUAUUGAGGUUAAACCUACAUCCAGUAAAGUGCACAAGUCUCAAGUGAACACGUUGAAUUUUUACGUGUUUUUACAUACCCAGCUGGCACCACCGAGAUCAAGAUGUAGAAAACUUCUAGCACCCAUCCCAGAAACAGUAGGGUUCUUGUUCAGUGUCAUGUCUAUGAGAGCAGUAGUUCAUUAUUCUUCGUUGCUGGGUAAGAGUCCUUUAUAUGCAUACACCCCAAUUUAUUUAUCCCAUCUACUAUUGAUAAACAUUCUGGUUGUGUCCAGUUUGGAGCCAUUAUCAAUAAAGCUCCUGUGAACAUUCAUGUCAUUGUCUUUUGGUGGACAUAAGCUCUCGUUCUACUGAGAUUACACUUGGAAGUGAAACUGAUAGAUCGUGGGACUGAUUUAGCUUUAGUAGACGCUGCCAGUCCCCCAAAGUGAUUGUACUAUUGUACACACCUACUUGAGUUCCAGUUGUUCCACAUCCUUGUCAACACUUGGCAUUGCCAGCCUUGUCAAUUUUAGUCAUCAUGUUGGGAGUACAUGAGUAUCUCAGUGGUUUAAUUUGCAUUUCCCUCAUAACAAAUACUAUUCAGCAUCUUAUAUGCUUGCUGGCCACUUGCAUAUCCUCUUUUGUGAAAUGCCCCUUCAAGUCUUCUGCCUACUUUAAAAAUUGGAUUGUCUGUUUUAAAAAUGUAUUUUGGAGUUCUCUGUAUAUUCUGGAUAUGAGUCCUUUCCCAGUUACAUGAAUUAUAAAUACCUGCUUCUUGUCUGUAUCUUUAAUCUUCACAAUGAUCCUGAUGUGAAUGCCAAUGAUAGGCAUUAUUAUCUUGAUUUUGUGGAUAAGAAAACUGAGGCUCAGGGAUGCACAGUAACUUGCCCAAAGUCACACAGCUAAUAACUAUCGAAGCUGAAUGUUGAGCUCAGGUCUCCUGACUUCAAAGUCUGGAUCCUUCCCAUGACACCUUCUGCCUCUCACAUUCAUCUCCUACUUACACACCUAAGACCUGUGCUCGAGCUUAUAGCUGUUACCAUCUUCCUCCACAGGGACCACUAUUGAAUCAAGUCUUCCUGUCUCGUCUAUGAGAAGCUGAUGUAUUGAAUCCAAGUAUAAACCUUGCUAUAUAUAGAAUAAUGGGAAGAAUCCACAUGAUAUCACUCAUAUGUGGAAUCUAAAAUAAAUAAAUUAAUUAAAAAGAGGACACUAACAAGCUCAUCUACAAAACAGAAACAGACUUGCAGAUAUAGUAAACAAUUUCAUGGUUACCAGGGGAAAGGGGGUAGGAAGGGAUAAAUCUGGGAGCUUGAGAUUUGCAAAUGCUAAACUCUCUCUGUAAAAAUAGAUAAAAAAACAAAUUUCUUCUGUAUAGCACAGAGAACUAUAUUCAAUAUCUUGUAAUAACCUUUAAUGAAAAAGAAUAUGAAAACAAAUAUAUGCAUGUAUAUGCAUGACUGGGACACUGUGCUGUGCACCAGAAAAUGACACAUUGUAACUGACUAGGCUUCAACUAAAAAAAAAAAAAAAAGAAUCUGGACCUGGGCGCGGAACAGACCUGGACUAGGGUCUGGCCUCACAUUUGGCUGUGUCUGCUCAGGCUUGACAUUAUGAGAAAGAGAAUUUCAACUGUAAAAUGUCAAGUUCUUCCAGAGCAGUGGUGAGGUGAAAUGAAGCACGUGCCAGGCCUCUGUUUGGACACCCUGUGGUGCUGCUCAUGCUUGUUUGCCUUCCCCUGUUCUCGAGUCUCGUUUAGUUUUGGUUUGGGUCCCUCUGCCCUGCCAGGUCCCAGUUCAGCCACGCAGCAGAAGGACUACUCCUCCAGUCGUCCGAAGGAAGGAUGGCAUGUCACAUUCGUAAUAUAUGUUUACUAAUACAAUUGACCCUUGGACAACAUGGGUUUGAAAUGCGUGAGUCCACUUAUACACAGGGUUUUUUUUCAGUAAAUACAGUUCUACAUGAUCCAUGGUUGGUAGAAUCCUCAGAUGCGGAACCUGGGAUACGGAGGGCUUUCUGUGGGACUCGAACAUCCACAGAUUUUGGUAUCCAUGGUGGGUCUUGAAACCAGUCCCCCAUGAUACCAAGGGGUGACUGUACUCAUCCAGAUCAUUGAGAAAAACAUUGAACACCCUCCUGCCUCCUGAUUAACCUUUCCUUCGGGGCUCAGAUGAGCUAUUCAUUCUCCUGGGGGCUCCCCACCCACUCAGAGCUACCUCAGGUGCCUGCCUUGUGUUCCCUCCAUCUCCUCACUUACCACUCUUUCUUGUGGUCACUAGCUGGGGUGUCCAUAAUGUGAGUCAACUUGCAACAACUUGGGGAUGGAGGUUGGGUCACACAUUAAUCCUUUUAUCUCAAGGGCGCAGUACAGCACCUGCCUGGCACAAAGCAGGCCUUCAGAAAAUACGAACUCUGCAAAUAUGUGUUUAACUACCACAACCUUGAACAUAUGAAAAACUGAGGCAAGAAAUAAUAUUCAGAGAGGAUUUCGUGAGUGAUGUACAAUUCAUCUAUUUAAUCAGUAGUUCUCAGACUUGGCUAUACAGAUUCUGCUUGACUUAUGAUGGAGUUUCAUCCCCAUAAUCCCAUUGUAAUUUGAAAACAUCAUAAAUUAAAAAUGCAUUUUAUGCACUUAACCUACUGAACAUCAUAGCUUAGGUUAGCCUACCUUAAACGUGUUCAGAAUAUUUACAUUAGUCUAUAGCUGGGCAAAAUCAUCUAACGCAAAUUCUCUCUCAUAAUAAAGUGUUAAAUAUCUCAUGUAAUUGACUGAAUGUUGUACCAAAAGUGAAAAACAGGAUGAUUGUUUGGGUAGAGAAUGGUUGUAAGUGUACUUGUUGUUUAUGCCUGUGGCUGACUGGGAGCUUGGGCUCACUGCCACUGCCCAGCAUCCCGGAGAGUAUUGUACUGUAUCUCGAUAGCCCAGGAAAAGAUCAAAAUUGAAAAUUCCAAAUAUGAGGGGGAGGGUAUAGCUUAAGUGGUAGAGUGCAUGCUUAACAUGAAAGCUAAAAGUCCUGGGUUCAAUCCCUGGUAUCUUCUCUAAAAAUAAAUAAACCUGAGGGGAAGGUACAGAGAUUUCCCAUAUACCCCCUGGCCCCACACAUACAUGAUCCACCCCUGUUAUCAGCAUCCCUCAUCAGAGUGCAUAUUUGCUAUGACUGAUGACCUAUGUUGACAUGUCACGUCAUAAGUCUCCCAGUGUCCAUAGCUGACACUAUGGUUAACUGUUGGUUAUUCACCCCUCCCCUUAUAUUUCUUUCUUUUUGUUUAAACAUUCAAGUUAAUAAAUGAUUUUGUUAAAGAGAUUUACACUA